UGUAUUCCUUGUGCCCGAUAUUUGUUCACUUCUAUUCUGUUCCUUUAGGUUGCAGUAUUGUAGUUCAGGUGUAAGCGUUCUCAAUUUAUUCUAGUAAUUUCAUUUUCCUUCAGAAAAACAUGUUAACAUCACUGCUUUAGGUGGACAAGUAAAACAAGUUAAGGGCAGAUUACUUAACUUAGUGGAGGG
rnacentral:lncRNA from 1 species